GGUUAAGCGACUAAGCGUACACGGUGGAUGCCCUGGCAGUCAGAGGCGAUGAAGGGCGUGCUAAUCUGCGAUAAGCGCCGGUAAGGUGAUAUGAACCGUUAUAACCGGCGAUACCCGAAUGGGGAAACCCAGUGUGACUCGUCACACUAUCAUUAACUGAAUCCAUAGGUUAAUGAGGCGAACCGGGGGAACUGAAACAUCUAAGUACCCCGAGGAAAAGAAAUCAACCGAGAUUCCCCCAGUAGCGGCGAGCGAACGGGGAGGAGCCCAGAGCCUGAAUCAGCAUGUGUGUUAGUGGAAGCGUCUGGAAAGGCGCGCGAUACAGGGUGACAGCCCCGUACACAAAAGCGCAUGUGCUGUGAGCUCGAUGAGUAGGGCGGGACACGUGGUAUCCUGUCUGAAUAUGGGGGGACCAUCCUCCAAGGCUAAAUACUCCUGACUGACCGAUAGUGAACCAGUACCGUGAGGGAAAGGCGAAAAGAACCCCGGCGAGGGGAGUGAAAAAGAACCUGAAACCGU
rnacentral:rRNA from 26 species